rnacentral:tRNA from 1 species
AUCUAAGUAGUUUAAGUAGAAAAUAUUGGUUUGUGGUGCCAGUGAUGUACAUUAUGUAUUUUAGGUU